UACGUAGGUGGCAAGCGUUAUCCGGAUUUAUUGGGUGUAAAGGGCGUGUAGGCGGGAGCGCAAGUCAGAUGUGAAAACUCAGGGCUCAACCCUGAGCCUGCAUUUGAAACUGUGUUUCUUGAGUGCUGGAAAGGCAAUCGGAAUUCCGUGUGUAGCGGUGAAAUGCGUAGAUAUACGGAGGAACACCAGUGGCGAAGGCGGAUUGCUGGACAGUAACUGACGCUGAGGCGCGAAAGCGUGGGGAGCAAACAGG
rnacentral:rRNA from 1 species